rnacentral:rRNA from 1 species
GGCCUUGACAUACUAAGAACUUUCCAGAGAUGGAUUGGUGCCUUCGGGAACUUAGAUACAGGUGCUGCAUGGCUGUCGUCAGCUCGUGUCGUGAGAUGUUGGUUAAGUCCGCAACGAGCGCAACCCUUUUCCUUAUUUGCCAGCGGGUAAUGCCGGGAACUUUAAGGAUACUGCCAGUGACAAACUGGAGGAAGGCGGGGACGACGUCAAGUCAUCAUGGCCCUUACGGCCAGGGCUACACACGUGCUACAAUGGUCGGUACAAAGGGUUGCUACCUCGCGAGAGGAUGCUAAUCUCAAAAAGCCGAUCGUAGUCCGGAUCGCAGUCUGCAACUCGACUGCGUGAAGUCGGAAUCGCUAGUAAUCGCGGAUCAGAAUGCCGCGGUGAAUACGUUCCCGGGCCUUGUACACACCGCCCGUCACACCAUGGGAGUUUGUUGCACCAGAAGUAGGUAGUCUAACCGCAAGGAGGACGCUUACCACGGUGUGGCCGAUGACUGGGGUGAAGUCGUAACAAGGUAAGCGUAGAUGA